GAUUAAUAAAUUAACACAACCUGAAGAUGAGCAAAUCAGGAUGAAGGGUUGAGCCACCCUCUCCAGUGCUAAUGUAACAGAGUUAGAAAAUAGCUUAAUGAAUUUCCUCAAAAUUGAUGUGCUUUGUGAAUAGUUGGAGCCACCUGGUGGACAAAUACCGCAACUGCAACUGUUAAGGUUCCAAAUCGCUGCACAGCGCAUGCCUCAGCAAAGGAAAAUACUCCCAAGCUGGUGAACUGAAUGUUGCAGUUGCUUAGCACACUGUUAAUGACGACUGUUUUCUUUGUACCAGUUGCCAGAAUAAAGAGGGAGCCCAAAGUAAGGGCAAGUCCAGCGUUGCAGUGCCGUCCUUCCUACAUGGGCAUAUCACACCACUUGCACGAUAGACUCACAGAACAGCAACAGCUACAUUGGUGCCGUGACUCUGCGAUUUGAGAUCAACUUGAUGCAGAUCUCCAACCCAGGUUGCAGUGUAUUGAGCUUAAAGAUUCAUCCUUUGCCCGUCUUGGACUGUGAAUUGCGUUGAGGUACUGGACUGUUUGUUCUUUGGUUUGAUGGGACUCUCUCCGGACUGCUUGUGCUGACACCUGCGACUCUGAAUAUUUGUUAUUGUCUAUUUUUUUUCUUGCUUGCUUUUCCUUUUCUCUAUUUAUAUGCUAAUAUGGCAAGCAAAUUCCAGCUGAG